UACAGAGGUCUCAAGCGUUGUUCGGAUUCAUUGGGCGUAAAGGGUGCGUAGGCGGCGCGGUAAGUCGGGUGUGAAAUCUCGGGGCUUAACUCCGAAACUGCAUUCGAUACUGCCGUGCUUGAGGACUGGAGAGGAGACUGGAAUUUACGGUGUAGCGGUGAAAUGCGUAGAUAUCGUAAGGAAGACCAGUGGCGAAAGGCGGGUCUCGUGGACAGUUCCUGACGCUGAGGCACGAAGGCCAGGGGGAGCAAACGGG
rnacentral:rRNA from 1 species